UGGGCAGCUGCAGGCUGAGGGUCGUGCGCGCCCCGCUCCACCUCUCCCUGACCCCUCGCAUAAAGCAGCCCCAAGUUGGGCCAGCCCCUGCUCCCGGCACCCCUCCCCCCGCAGCGGGCUGGAACCGGCCCCUGACAGGCCAAGUCCCCCCGGCCCUGAGCUGCCCGCGGGGCCGCACGGCAGGCGAGGGCCCGUCGGUAAUUAUCACAGUGAAAGAAGACAGCACAUUUUGAGGUUAAGAAUUAAAAAUUGUACAAGGCAACCCUGCCCCAGGCCAUUGCCUCAGACAUCCUCACUUGGUCCCUUAAGGUAAUGAGUCCCUUCUCCAUAGAAGGGACCUAUUACCCUUAUUCACCUAGGACACUUGCUCCAACAAAGCACCUGAUCCAAUAUGUGUAACUAUUAGCAGGGCAUGCAACUUUUGCUAGUCUCAUGAGUGGUCUUUGAAGAUGGGCUUGAGUGGAAUUUGAAAUGAGAUUGCGAAUCAAUGAGAAAUAUGGUGGCAGUUCCAGGCAGCUCUAGCAGGACAAGCUUUUGGAUUAACAAUGGUGAUAUUGUCUGAGGAAGCCAGUGGUAAAUGGAAUAUAAGGAGGGGAGAGUAGAAAGAGACAAAGUCAGCGAGGUAGGCUGAAAUAAAUCCAUUGCUGGUUUUAAAAUAAGGACAUUUUUUAUGUGGAUCCUGAAAUAAACAAGAAGCCAAUAAUGAUCACAUUUUUUUAUGUCUGAGAAGGGAAAGGUAGCAGCAUUCUGCACUUGCUAGCAUCUGGAGAGACUGGAUGUGCAGAGGCUAAAGAGAACGGGGUUGCAAUGAGCCUGGCAAGACGAAAUGAAAGCAUGGAUGGAGAUGAAGCUCUGUGGCAACAAUGCAGUGUUGUUUGAGGGGAUGAUAGGCAGAACUGCAAUCAAAGAAGGAUAAGCAUGCUGAGAGUCUGGAAUAAUGCCAAGGUAUAGACAGCUGAGACAAAGUGUGAGUCAAGGAAGAAGGCGGAGGUUCUCUUUAUUUUCUUCAAAGGGGUUUGUAGAGACACUGCUAACGGACUUCAUCUCAAGCGUAGGAUGGUUCAGAAGGAACUGAAGGGGUCAGGGCGUGCGCAUGCUAGAGGAGGCACCCGUGGCAUCGCAAGACUGCUACCGCACACAUGUGCCGACCAGACCCUGCUACCAAAAUCCUCCCAUCUACAGUGCCGGGACGCAUGGACACCUGAAGCAGAACACCCACAGGGACAGAACUCGAAGAAGAACAAAGCCUGUGAUUAGUCAAUUUCAUUAUUUCCUCUGGACGGGUCAUUCACAAAGUAAUACGGAACCAAAAAACCCCACCAUCACAUUUUAAAUAUAGGAAAGUUUUCUUAAAAAACCCACAAAAAUUGGCAGAGACUCAAGACCAGCGGAAAUACCUGACACCUUUCUUAAUUGAUGUUUUGAAGUAGUCUAGAUUGAGGGUGUCCCUUUUAAGGCAGGAUACUUGGAACCCAGGCCCUGUAAUUGGUGGUGGCUGCCCAUGGCAGCAAACACCAAGAGACAUGGUGCACAGCUGAUGGGUGCUAACUGGUUACCCAUUGAUGCCACAAUACCCAGAGAUCGAUCCAUAUAGGUCCUAGCCACUUCCUACUCCUUUUUAGGACAUUCAACAAAACACGGUAACUAUUGUGGGAGGGUUCUGUCAUUUUUGUAGGAGAAAGAGGAUUUAGAAAGGUUUGGUUGAUUCCAACCCAGUAUAAUCUUUUGCUUGAAAAUUCUAUUUACUUAAUUUACAAUUGUUUAAAUGAACAUACUUUUUUGGGAGGGGACUCAUAUGUAGCACAAUGAAAUUGUUUUUGCAGUAAAGAUACAACAAAAAGAACUUAAUUCUCCUCCACAUGUAAUUAACCCCGCCCCCAAACAAACAAUAUCAUAGUGCUUCUUUACAGAGCUUUAUACAAAGACAGCUUCAUUUGUUAAAGACACACAAUGACGUAAUCCAGGAUAUGUAUGCUGAUAUUUUUCUACUUGGCAGGUCCUACUCUUAAGUUCAAGUAAAAUGAAUGUGUUUGUGCCUUUUUAUGACAAAAGUUGCAAAGAACAAUAAGUUGACAAGCCUUUGACAUUAGAAAGUCAAGAUUUCUGUAAUCUGAUUUUCCUACAAGGGUACAGACAAUUAAAUAAACACAAACAUUUGCUGCCCGGACUGUGGAAUCUGAAUGUAUAAAAAUAAUUAGCUCUCAGAUUUAAGAACUCUUUCUUGUUAAUACCCAUUUAACUCAAACACCCUAAUAGAUGGGAUUGUUAAAGAUUGUCACCCGUGACUUCUUAAAAUUAAGGCCGUUUCAGAGAUGUCCAGAAAGGCUUAUCGUCCUGCGCUAAAGUCUAUUACCUGAUCCUUAACCAUACACAUGCAAAAUACCCUCUUCUCUCCGCUCCUCACCACACACCCCUUGGGAUUGAGACUCCUGUCUCACAAAGAAUCCCAUCCUACCUUUCAUUCAACUAUUCUCUUACCCUUCCCUCUCCUCCCCACCCAAUUAACCUGAAUGAUUCUCAUUCAUUCUUCCCCCAAUUAAUCAAUUCUCAUCCUUACCCCACUAGAUCUACUACCUAAGAAGCAGCUCUUUCAAAAUUGAAGUAAUUACCUCAGCACUUGUUGCUUGGACCAGCUUCACAGCUGCAAAAGUCACCUCAGCCUCUCUCCAUCCAUCCUGGCUGCACUGCUUACAGACACCAUUUCUGAAAUUAUAGUGGGCUGCAGAGAGGUGGAUAGCAUUGCUGUACUCCUCCCCUGUGAUAAGCAUCCAUAGCCAUAGGCUUUCCGUAAGUGAGGUAGGACCAUUGGAGUAGGUAGGCCACGUCAGGACUAGCCAUGAUAUACUACAGUAUAGAUAUUUUAUUUCCACAACUUUAAAGCCAAACAAAUAUUGGACACUAUUAAGCUCAACCUUUGACUUUUAAUAUUCCAAUUAAAUACUAAUACAAAUAAGUGAAACACAAACGGGGAACAUUGUUUAAAUCAAAGUUAAUGAGUAGAGACAUGCCAGUAACAAACAAAUUCCAUUUUUGGCAAUAUCUGUCAGCUUUUAACUAGUAACAGAAAAAGUGAUUACACAGCCAAAUUGUAUUCAGUUCAGAACUUAUACUGGAAUAGAUUCAAUUCAGUCUUCUGGCAUCCCAGACUGCAGUUUAGUAUGGUAUACUAUGAGCGAGAUCAAACAGUUAUGUACAUGAACAUUGAACAGCCAAAAUACUUACACUAAACAGCACAAGUAUGUACAGGUUCUCCAACAAAAAUAUUCAAUAGCCAUACAAACAUGAAACUGAAGGGAGGGAGAAGAGGAAAACCCCAA